rnacentral:rRNA from 1 species
UACGGAGGGAGCUAGCGUUGUUCGGAUAUACUGGGCGUAAAGCGCACGUAGGCGGCGCCGUAAGUCAGGGGUGAAAUCCCGGAGCUCAACUCCGGAACUGCCUUUGAAACUGUCGGGCUUGAGGCCGGGAGGGGGUAGCGGAAUUCCCAGUGUAGCGGUGAAAUGCGUAGAUAUUGGGAGGAACACCAGUGGCGAAGGCGGCUACCUGGACCGGUUCUGACGCUGAUGCGCGAAAGCGUGGGUAGCAAACAGG